GACGAACGCUGGCGGCGUGCUUAAUACAUGCAAGUCGAACGGAAAGGCCCUGCUUUUGUGGGGUGCUCGAGUGGCGAACGGGUGAGUAACACGUGAGUAACCUGCCCUUGACUUUGGGAUAACUUCAGGAAACUGGGGCUAAUACCGGAUAGGAGCUCCUGCUGCAUGGUGGGGGUUGGAAAGUUUCGGCGGUUGGGGAUGGACUCGCGGCUUAUCAGCUUGUUGGUGGGGUGGUGGCUUACCAAGGCUUUGACGGGGAGCCGGCCUGAGAGGGUGACCGGCCACAUUGGGACUGAGAUACGGCCCAGACUCCUACGGGAGGCAGCAGUGGGGAAUAUUGCACAAUGGGCGGAAGCCUGAUGCAGCAACGCCGCGUGCGGGAUGACGGCCUUCGGGUUGUAAACCGCUUUCGCCUGUGACGAAGCGUGAGUGACGGUAAUGGGUAAAGAAGCACCGGCUAACUACGUG
rnacentral:rRNA from 1 species